CUUUUAACACCUGGAUUACAUUGUUAUGUGUCGGUCAGUGGUUUUAUAGGUCACAUGCUCGACCUUGUAAAUGCGUGUAUUGUAUAUUUCUAUCGUUGGAUGUAUUAUGUUCUAAAAAGGAAAAGAAAGUAAGUACAAAUUAUUUCGUCACUUACUAAUGUAUAAGAUUUAUUAUAAGUUUUAUUUCAGCUGCAAAAUUUUCUUUUUUGGAUGAUAAUGAUUUGUCCAUAGAUUCAAUUAAACUUCCCAGUUCCCGUUUUGCAUAUGCUAUCAAUUGACUGGAAGUAAAACUUUUAGACUGAUUUUUGAUUAUAUUCCUACAUUUCCAAAUAAUCCAUUUAACUGUAUUCAUAAUCGUAUUAGUUAUGACAUUGUACUUUUUGUUGUAAUCGUACAUUCCUAGCAUGAUAAGUUCUUCGCUCAAUGGAAUAUAUACUGUGUUAUUUAGUACAUUAUAUGUUUUAAGCGCAUCAAAAAU
rnacentral:lncRNA from 1 species